rnacentral:rRNA from 1 species
GUAGUCUCGCACAGAUGCAUAUCAAUAAGCGGAGGAAAAGGAACUAACAAGGAUUCCCCUAGUAACGGCGAGUGAAGCGGGAAGAGCUCAAAUUUGAAAUCUUAAAGGGUUUCCCUUUACGAAUUGUAGUUUAAAGAAGUGUUUUCUGUUGAGGUUUUGGUAAAAGUUCUUUGGAAUAGGACAUCAUAGAGGGUGAGAAUCCCGUAUUUGACCUUUACUUUCAACUUUGUGAUACACUUUCAAAGAGUCGGAUUGUUUGGGAAUGCAGUCCAAAAUGGGUGGUAAAUUUCAUCUAAAGCUAAAUAUUGGCGAGAGACCGAUAGCGAACAAGUACCGUGAGGGAAAGAUGAAAAGAACUUUGAAAAGAGAGUUAAACAGUACGUGAAAUUGUCAAAAGGGAAGCGUUUGACACCAGUGUUGUUUUUCUGAAAAUCAAUUAAAGAACUGUUUAUGCUAAGUUGUUUAGACUUUAUCAGCUAACUGUUUAGUUUUGAGCUUUUCUUUAAUGCACUUUUCAGUUAACAAGUCAACAUCAAUUUCUUUUGCUGUAAAAAAGCUUGAGGAAGGUGGCUUGAGAUUCGUCUUAAGUGUUUAUAGCCUCUUGCCUAUGCAGUCGGAGAGAUUGAGGUCUGCAGCGUAGAUCCUUCGGGGCUAAAUGCAUUUGUGCUAAGUUAUAGCAUUUUAUAGACAACUUGUUGACUAUGAUUUGUCUUGUAGCUUACUCGCUUAUGUUAUUUUACCUACGCUUAGGAUGUUGAUGAGACUGUCGAUCUCAUCUAUACAUGACUCUGUGCAUAUCAAUAAGCGGAGGAAAAGCUGUUACCUACGCUUAGGAUGUUGAUCUGUAGUGCGUGCGC